CUCAGUAGUUUCCUCCAACCAGUCAAGCAACGCAAAUCACAGACAUCCAAGAGCGCCCAGAACACGGGAGAGUCUCAGAUCUAAGGGGUUGGACGCUAGUUGCUGGACAUGACCCCAUGAUGCCUGACCUCGUGACCUCCUAGCAACAUCUGGGAGUUUUAUAAAACCAUAAUCACCCUGGUUUAAUGACAGGCAUAAGUUAAUGCUUGCCUGGUCCGAGAUCUGUUUGUGCUGUCUUGCCAAAAGAGCACAAAAGGACCAGGAUAGAUUGAUGGGAUGGUUGUUGUCCGUUUUUUUGUGACAACUAUAUUUCGCUUUAAGCAGUAUUGUGCACAUUUUUUUAAGAUUCUGUAAAUUUUACUGUACUUUCUCGUUGGGCUGGCCUGAAUAUUAUUUUAAGCUAAAACUCCAAAGAGUAACGAUAACAAAGUUAUUUAUUGUUUUACACUGAUUUUCCUAUUGACAGUUUCAUGUGUCUUUUUCCAACCUUGAUAUUCUUUGGAUUAUAUAAUGCUGAUGAGAAACCCCCCUCCUACUGUAGAAGAGUGGACUAGUCCUGCAUGGUUUAACCAGGGACAACUCAUCAUGGAUUAUUACAUUAUGCAUUAUCCAGGUACUUUCUCUGAUCUUAAAAUACAUAACAGAUGAAAGCAACAAAUUAUAAAAAAUAGUCAUAAACUAUCAUGGUUUUAUUUAAAAAGUAAUUGUUUAAAACAUAACCAUCAAAGGUCGAGUUGUGAGAGUCAGAUUGAAAUGUAUAUUUUGUGUAUAUAGUUUUAUAAUUGUAUCUCAAAUUUAAAAGAGGUCAACCAAAAAAUUUACAAGAAUCAUGAUCAUGACUGUUAUUGUUUCUAGUAAGGUGUGCAUCCUGUCAAAUAAGGAUAAAUUAAAAUCAUUGUAAAUAUU